CAGCCUCAGCUCCCACUGGAGGGCUCAAGGGCCCGGGUAACCGGAGCCGCAGGGAGAGCUGGGAGCCCGCGGCAGAGUCCAGAAGGGGUAGGGAUGGGGGUUCUCUUUUCUGCGGUCCUCCCUGUGCCCCCUCCAGGGGCGCCCACCGCAUCUUCACCCCGGAGUCUGCGCCGCGACACUUACCGUGGGCGAGCAGCGCCGAGAGGCAGAGCAGAGCGGCGCCACCGCGGCCCGACAUCUCUGGGGCCAUGGUGAGGUGGCGCGGGAGGGGUCCGAGGGGGCAACAGUCUACGAUUUGGCUCCAGGCUAGGCUUGGUCACAUCCAGCUCGGCGUGGCCGUGGCGCCCAGCUGUCUCGGCAGAAGCUUCGGGGCCCAGGGAGCGCAAUUCGGGGACACUUCGUGGGGAGGGGGCGUCCCGGGCGCCGCGGGCUACACCCUCAGAGCUGGUGGGGGCGCAGCUCCGGGCGGGAGGAGCCUCCACCUCCCUGGGCUGGUGCCCCCUGCAGGAGCUCUGAGGCGAGGGGGGAGCUGCACGUGCGGUCCCCAGGCCCAGUGGCCGCUGGCGUCCCGGGAGCUGCCUAAAGCUAAGUGCGGGAUCGUCUGGCUCCGCGGCCCAGCUCGAAUCCGAACUCGCUCAGGGGUGCAGGUUUCCAACUCAAACCCUAAUUUCUGUGGUUUCGGCGGUAACCCCACACAGAGAGCGCAGCUUUCCUUCUCCAAGAGCCCUGCAGCAGCCCCGACAUAAAAAUCCCAGGUCAGGUGCAAAUGAAUGAUUUCUUUCGCAAAGACAGAGAAAUUCCAGGCAACUUUAAUCCAUCCGGAGAAGGAAAAGUUUCCGUGCAGUGCUGAGAAGGGAGAGGCGGGUCGCCACCACCUUAGGCGACGCCCGGUUGGAAAGCUCGAGGUGGGCGUCCAGAUGUCUGUCCCCUCGAAGAGCUCGCUCUUGGACUCCAGCGCGCUCCCUCGUCUCUAUCAGGGCCCGCGCUCAGCACAGGCCGGCUCCGCGCAGCCUGGCCCGGCAGCAGCUCCGCGGCUGGCGCGAGGGUGGCGAGGCGGGAACCGGUUGCCCCAUGGAGACAGGGGUUGGAGAAAUGAGGGAGCGGGAAAUCCAGCUACUACGCCCCGACCCGGGCCCGUCCUGCUCGAAGCGUGGACUCCAGCCUCCAACCCAUCAACGCUGCAGGACGGCGAGGGGCUCGGCCAGCGACAGCUCCGGAGCCCCCCUCUCUUCUCUCAGCGCUGGGAUCCAGUGGGGCUUGUGGCCGCUGCGUUUCUCCCGGGUAGAUGCCACUGCAGUCUCCGAUGUUCCCUUUCAAAGGAUGCAAGCUCCCCGCCGGCGCCGGAGGUGUUCUGCAGCCGUUCUGCCAGAGGCUCGGGUAGGGGGCACCCCACCCCCACCCCCAGAGUCUGCUUGGGGCUUUCCAGGGACCCAGAGUGGGAAUCAGCCUAG
rnacentral:lncRNA from 1 species